AGAGUUUGAUCCUGGCUCAGGAUGAACGCUAGCGGUGCGCCUAACACAUGCAAGUCGAGCGAUAUAGCGGCGAACGGGUGAGUAACACGUUGGAACCUGCCCCGGACUCAGGGAUAGCCCGCCGAAAGGCGGAUUAAUACCGGAUAGUCCCGCAAGGGUAAAGCUUUUGCGGUCCGGGAGGGGCCUGCGCAGUAUCAGCUUGUUGGUAGUGUAACGGACUACCAAGGCUACGACGCUUAACUGGUCUGAGAGGAUGAUCAGUCACAAUGGAACUGAGACACGGUCCAUACUCCUACGGGAGGCAGCAGUGAGGAAUCUUCCGCAAUGGGCGAAAGCCUGACGGAGCGACACCGCGUGAAGGAUGAAGGCCUUUUGGUUGUAAACUUCUUUUCUGGGGGAAUAAAUGAUGAAGGUACCCCAGGAAUAAGCACCGGCUAACUACGUGCCAGCAGCCGCGGUAAUACGUAGGGUGCAAGCGUUAUCCGGAAUUAUUGGGCGUAAAGCGUGCGUAGGCUGUUUGGCAAGUUUGAGAUUAAAUCUGGUGGCUCAACCAUCAAAUCGUCUCAAAAACUACUAAACUAGAGAACGAUAGAGGCAACUGGAAUUCUGCAUGUAGGGGUAAAAUCCGUUGAUAUGCAGAGGAACACCAAAAGCGAAGGCAGGUUGCUGGGUCGUUUCUGACGCUGUUGCACGAAAGCGUGGGUAGCGAACAGGAUUAGAUACCCUGGUAGUCCACGCCGUAAACGAUGGAUACUCGGUUUUAGAGGGAAUCGACCCCCUUUUGAGCCCAAGCUAACGCGUUAAGUAUCCCGCCUGGGGAGUACGGUCGCAAGAUUAAAACUCAAA
rnacentral:rRNA from 1 species